AAUGCCGCGUGUGUGAAGAAGGCCUGCGGGUUGUAAAGCACUUUUAUUAGGAAAGAAAUGGCCUGGGUUAAUAACCCAUGGCAGCUGACGGUACCUAAUGAAUAAGCACCGGCUAACUCCGUGCCAGCCACGGCGGUGACUGAGCGGGCUGGCAAGGCGCAUA
rnacentral:rRNA from 1 species